rnacentral:rRNA from 1 species
GACGUAGGAGGCGAGCGUUAUCCGGAUUCACUGGGCGUAAAGCGCAUGUAGGCGGCUGGACAAGUCGUGUGUUAAAGCCCCUGGCUCAACUGGGGGAGGUCAUGCGAGACUGUACGGCUGGAGGGCAACAGAGGCACGUGGAACUCCCGGUGUAGCGGUGGAAUGCGUAGAGAUCGGGAAGAACACCAGUGGCGAAGGCGACGUGCUGGGUUGCACCUGACGCUGAGAUGCGAAAGUGUGGGGAGCAAACAGG